UACGUAGGGGGCAAGCGUUGUCCGGAUUUAUUGGGCGUAAAGGGCGCGUAGGCGGCGUGACAAGUCACUUGUGAAAUCUCCGGGCUUAACUCGGAGCGGCCAAGUGAUACUGUCGUGCUAGAGUGCGGAAGGGGCUACUGGAAUUCUCGGUGUAGCGGUGAAAUGCGUAGAUAUCGAGAGGAACACCUGCGGCGAAGGCGGGUGGCUGGGCCGACACUGACGCUGAGGCGCGAAAGCUAGGGGAGCGAACGGG
rnacentral:rRNA from 1 species